rnacentral:rRNA from 1 species
CUUAGCGGCGGACGGGUGAGUAACGCGUGGGCAACCUGCCGUAUACAGGGGAAUAAUCACUGGAAACGGUGACUAAUACCGCAUGUCAUCACAAGGAGGCAUCUUUUUGUGAGAAAAGGAGCAAUCCGGUAUACGAUGGGCCCGCGUCUGAUUAGCUAGUUGGCGGGGUAACGGCCCACCAAAGCGACGAUCGGUAGCCGGCCUGAGAGGGCGGACGGCCACAUUGGGACUGAGACACGGCCCAAACUCCUACGGAAGGCAGCAG